rnacentral:rRNA from 1 species
GAUGAACGCUGGCGGCGUGCCUAAUACAUGCAAGUCGAGCGAACGGACGAUAAGCUCUCUUCCUUGCUGUUAGCGGCGGACGGGCGAGUAACACGUGGAUCACCUACCUAUUAUACUUGGAUAACUUCGUGAAACCGGUUAUACUACCAGCUAAUACUUCGAACCGCAUGGAUCAAAAGUGCAACACGGUCUUGCUGUCUGUUUUAGCUGGUUCCGGGUUGGCUUGGCUAGUUGGUAAGGUAACGGCAUACCAAGGAGACGAUGCGUAGCUGGUCUGAGAGGAUGAUCAGCCACACUGGAACUGAGACACGGUCCCGACUCCUACGGGAGGCAGCAGUGGGGAAUAUUGGACAAUGGGCGCAAGCCUGAUCCAGCCAUACCGCGUGGGUGAAGAAGGCCUUCGGGUUGUAAAGCCCUUUUGUUGGGAAAGAAAAGCAGCAGGUUAAUACCGUGCUGUUCUGACGGUACCCAAAGAAUAAGCACCGGCUAACUUCGUG